GAACCGUACAAACGUUAUUCGGAAUCACUGGGGUUUAAAGGGGUGCGCAGGCGGCUUGGCAAGUUGGGUGUGAAAUCCCUCGGGCUCAACCGAGGGAACUGCGCUCAAAACUGCCAAGCUAGAGGGAGAUAGAGGUGAGCGGAACUUAGGGUGGAGCGGUGAAAUGCGUUGAUAUCCUAAGGAACACCAGUGGCGAAAGCGGCUCACUGGAUCUCUUCUGACGCUCAGGCACGAAAGCUAGGGUAGCGAACGGGAUUAGAUACCCCGGUAGUCCUAGCUGUAAACGAUGAGCACUGGGUUGGAGGGCCCUCCAUAGCCUUCCGGCCGAAGCGAAAGUGUUAAGUGCUCCACCUGGGGAGUAUGGUCGCAAAGGCUG
rnacentral:rRNA from 1 species